UACGUAGGCAGCAAGCGUUGUUCGGAGUUACUGGGCGUAAAGGGUGUGUAGGCGGUUGUUUAAGUUUGGUGUGAAAUCUCCCGGCUUAACUGGGAGGGUGCGCCGAAUACUGAGUGACUAGAGUGCGGGAGAGGAGAGUGGAAUUCCUGGUGUAGCGGUGAAAUGCGUAGAUAUCAGGAGGAACACCGGUGGUGUAGACGGCUCUCUGGACCGUAACUGACGCUGAGACGCGAAAGCGUGGGGAGCGAACAGG
rnacentral:rRNA from 1 species